GUUGGGUAGGGGAGCGUUCUGUAAGCCUGUGAAGGUGGCCUGUGAGGGUUGCUGGAGGUAUCAGAAGUGCGAAUGCUGACAUAAGUAACGAUAAAGCGGGUGAAAAGCCCGCUCGCCGGAAGACCAAGGGUUCCUGUCCAACGUUAAUCGGGGCAGGGUGAGUCGACCCCUAAGGCGAGGCCGAAAGGCGUAGUCGAUGGGAAACGGGUUAAUAUUCCCGUACUUGGUGUUACUGCGAAGGGGGGACGGAGAAGGCUAUGUUGGCCGGGCGACGGUUGUCCCGGUUUAAGCGUGUAGGUGUGUGUUCCAGGUAAAUCCGGUUCACUUUAACACUGAGGCGUGAUGACGAGGCACUACGGUGCUGAAGCAACAAAUGCCCUGCUUCCAGGAAAAGCCUCUAAGCAUCAGGUAACAUCAAAUCGUACCCCAAACCGACACAGGUGGUCAGGUAGAGAAUACCAAGGCGCUUGAGAGAACUCGGGUGAAGGAACUAGGCAAAAUGGUGCCGUAACUUCGGGAGAAGGCACGCUGACAUGUAGGUGAAGUGAUUUACUCACGGAGCUGAAGUCAGUCGAAGAUACCAGCUGGCUGCAACUGUUUAUUAAAAACACAGCACUGUGCAAACACGAAAGUGGACGUAUACGGUGUGACGCCUGCCCGGUGCCGGAAGGUUAAUUGAUGGGGUCAGCGCAAGCGAAGCUCCUGAUCGAAGCCCCGGUAAACGGCGGCCGUAACUAUAACGGUCCUAAGGUAGCGAAAUUCCUUGUCGGGUAAGUUCCGACCUGCACGAAUGGCGUAAUGAUGGCCAGGCUGUCUCCACCCGAGACUCAGUGAAAUUGAACUCGCUGUGAAGAUGCAGUGUACCCGCGGCAAGACGGAAAGACCCCGUGAACCUUUACUAUAGCUUGACACUGAACAUUGAGCCUUGAUGUGUAGGAUAGGUGGGAGGCUUUGAAGUGUGGACGCCAGUCUGCAUGGAGCCGACCUUGAAAUACCACCCUUUAAUGUUUGAUGUUCUAACGUGGACCCGUAAUCCGGGUUGCGGACAGUGUCUGGUGGGUAGUUUGACUGGGGCGGUCUCCUCCUAAAGAGUAACGGAGGAGCACGAAGGUUGGCUAAUCCUGGUCGGACAUCAGGAGGUUAGUGCAAUGGCAUAAGCCAGCUUGACUGCGAGCGUGACGGCGCGAGCAGGUGCGAAAGCAGGUCAUAGUGAUCCGGUGGUUCUGAAUGGAAGGGCCAUCGCUCAACGGAUAAAAGGUACUCCGGGGAUAACAGGCUGAUACCGCCCAAGAGUUCAUAUCGACGGCGGUGUUUGGCACCUCGAUGUCGGCUCAUCACAUCCUGGGGCUGAAGUAGGUCCCAAGGGUAUGGCUGUUCGCCAUUUAAAGUGGUACGCGAGCUGGGUUUAGAACGUCGUGAGACAGUUCGGUCCCUAUCUGCCGUGGGCGCUGGAGAACUGAGGGGGGCUGCUCCUAGUACGAGAGGACCGGAGUGGACGCAUCACUGGUGUUCGGGUUGUCAUGCCAAUGGCACUGCCCGGUAGCUAAAUGCGGAAGAGAUAAGUGCUGAAAGCAUCUAAGCACGAAACUUGCCCCGAGAUGAGUUCUCCCUGAGACUUUAGGUCUCCUGAAGGAACGUUGAAGACGACGACGUUGAUAGGCCGGGUGUGUAAGCGCAGCGAUGCGUUGAGCUAACCGGUACUAAUGAACCGUGAGGCUUAACCUUACAACGCCGAAG
rnacentral:rRNA from 1 species